GACAGCAGCAGCCACGGUAAUACGAAGGGGGCUAGCGUUGCUCGGAAUCACUGGGCGUAAAGGGUGCGUAGGCGGACUGAUAAGUCAGGGGUGAAAUCCCAAGGCUCAACCUUGGAACUGCCUUUGAUACUGUUUGUCUUGAGUUCGAGAGAGGUAAGUGGAACCGCGAGUGUAGAGGUGAAAUUCGUAGAUAUUCGCAAGAACACCAGUGGCGAAGGCGGCUUACUGGCUCGAAACUGACGCUGAGGCGCGAAAGCGUGGGGAGCAAACAGGAUUAGAUACCCGUGUAGUCCCUGUCUCUUAUAC
rnacentral:rRNA from 1 species